AUUGCAUUGAAAUUUAUUUGGACUCAUAAAAAAAAAGAUAUAAAUACAGGUCUUCCCAUAUUUAGAAACAUAAUAUGCUUCGAUAUCUCGACGUAGAUUAUGUGAAAUUUCUUAUUUUACCAAAUUGGUAUCAAGAUUACGAGGAGACGCAAUGGUAAAUUCAAACAAGCAGUUGUACAAGAUGAUAUCGCAAAUGAAGAAAUAGAUGUGAGCCAGUUGUUCGAUUCUGUGGACUAGCAAGCAGGAAUGAAUAACAAAAUUUUGCUUCGUUCAACUCUGGUCGGACGCAUUUCAAUCCAUUUCAUCCUCGAUUUUAUCAUGAAUCCUUGUUUGUUUGUACAUGAAUUAACCUUAAAUCUCAAAUACAUUCAUCGAACCCGACACUAAUAUUUCAGUUGCUACGAAAAUAAUAAACUUGUAACCAAAA